ACCGCGUGGAGGACCGAACCCACCUGGGUUGAAAACCGGGGGGAUGACCUGGGGCUGGGGGUGAAAGGCCAAUCAAAUUCCGUGAUAGCUGGUUCUCUCCGAAAUGCAUUUAGGUGCAGCGUCGGGGGUUACAUCCGGGGGGUAGAGCUACUGGAUGCUUGAGGGCCCGUAUCGGGUACCGACAGCAGCCAAACUCCGAAUACCCGUGAUGCGGAUCCCGGCAGUGAGUCGGCGGGGGAUAAGCUCCGUCGUCGAGAGGGAUACAGCCCAGAUCGUCGUCUAAGGUCCCGAAGCGUGUGCUAAGUGGGAAAGGAUGUGGAGUCGCCCAGACAGCCAGGAGGUUGGCUCAGAAGCAGCCAUCCUUGAAAGAGUGCGUAACAGCUCACUGGUCUAGCGGCUCCGCGCCGACAAUGUAGCGGGGCUCAAGCACACCACCGAAGACGCGGCAGUCCGUUUGGACUGGGUAGGAGAGCGUCCCCCGGGGGGCGAAGCCGUGGCGUGAGCCGAUGGUGGACCUGGGGGGAGUGAGAAUGCAGACAUGAGUAGCGAAAGACGGGUGCGAAUCCCGUCCGCUGGAUGACCAAGGGUUCCGGGGCAACGCUCGUCGUCCCCGGGUGAGUCGGGUCCUAAGGCGAGGCCGACAGGCGUAGUCGAAUGGAUGAACGGGUUGA
rnacentral:rRNA from 1 species